AUUGAACGCUGGCGGCAGGCCUAACACAUGCAAGUCGAACGAGUGGCGGACGGGUGAGUAAUGUAUGGGAAACUGCCUGAUGGAGGGGGAUCACUACUGGAAACGGUAGCUAAUACCGCAUACCAUCAGAUGUGCCCAGAUGGGAUUAGCUAGUUGGUGGGGUAACGGCUCACCAAGGCGACGAUCCCUCGCUGGUCUGAGAGGAUGACCAGCCACACUGGAACUGAGACACGGCCCAGACUCCUACGGGAGGCAGCAGUGGGGAAUAUUGCACAAUGGGCGAAAGCCUGAUGCAGCCAUGCCGCGUGUAUGAAGAAGGCCUUCGGGUUGUAAAGUACUUUCAGCGGGGAGGCGUUACCCGCAGAAGAAGCACCGGCUAACUCCGUGCCAACAGCCGCGGUAAUUC
rnacentral:rRNA from 1 species